rnacentral:rRNA from 1 species
UACGUAGGCAGCGAGCGUUGUUCGGAUUUACUGGGCGUAAAGCGUGCGUAGGCGGUGUCUUAAGUCUGUUGUGAAAUCUCCCGGCUUAACCUGGGAACUGCAUCCGAUACUGGAUGGCUUGAAUCCGGGAGAGGGAUGCAGAAUUCCAGGUGUAGCGGUGAAAUGCGUAGAUAUCUGGAGGAAUACCGGUGGCGAAGGCGGCAUCCUGGACCGGCAUUGACGCUGAGGAGCGAAAGCUAGGGGAGCAAACGGG